UUUGUACUCCCUUCGUCCCAAAAUACUUGUCUUAAAUUUGUCUAAAUACGGAUGUAUCUAGUUACAUUUUAGUGUUAGAUACAUUUGUAUCUAAACAAAUGUAAGACAAGAAUUUUGAGACGGAGGGAAUACUAC
rnacentral:pre_miRNA from 1 species